rnacentral:rRNA from 1 species
AUUGAACGCUGGCGGCAGGCCUAACACAUGCAAGUCGAACGGUAACAGGAAGCAGCUUGCUGCUUUGCUGACGAGUGGCGGACGGGUGAGUAAUGUCUGGGAAACUGCCUGAUGGAGGGGGAUAACUACUGGAAACGGUAGCUAAUACCGCAUAACGUCGCAAGACCAAAGAGGGGGACCUUCGGGCCUCUUGCCAUCGGAUGUGCCCAGAUGGGAUUAGUUAGUAGGUGGGGUAAAGGCUCACCUAGGCGACGAUCCCUAGCUGGUCUGAGAGGAUGACCAGCCACACUGGAACUGAGACACGGUCCAGACUCCUACGGGAGGCAGCAGUGGGGAAUAUUGCACAAUGGGCGCAAGCCUGAUGCAGCCAUGCCGCGUGUAUGAAGAAGGCCUUCGGGUUGUAAAGUACUUUCAGCGGGGAGGAAGGGAGUAAAGUUAAUACCUUUGCUCAUUGACGUUACCCGCAGAAGAAGCACCGGCUAACUCCGUG